rnacentral:rRNA from 1 species
GGCGGAAUGCUUUACACAUGCAAGUCGAGCGGCAGCGCGGGGCAACCUGGCGGCGAGCGGCGAACGGGUGAGUAAUGCAUCGGAACAUGUCCAUUCGUGGGGGAUAGCCCGGCGAAAGCCGGAUUAAUACCGCAUACGCCCUGAGGGGGAAAGCGGGGGACUUCGCAAGAGGCCUCGCGCGAAUGGGUUGGCCGAUGUCCGAUUAGCUAGUUGGUGGGGUAAAGGCUUACCAAGGCGAUGAUCGGUAGCUGGUCUGAGAGGAUGAUCAGCCACACUGGGACUGAGACACGGCCCAGACUCCUACGGGAGGCAGCAGUGGGGAAUUUUGGACAAUGGGGGAAACCCUGAUCCAGCCAUUCCGCGUGAGUGAAGAAGGCCUUCGGGUUGUAAAGCUCUUUUGUCCGGAGCGAAACGGUUAGCGUGAAUAUCGCUGACUACUGACGGUACCGGAAGAAUAAGCACCGGCUAACUACGUGCCAGCAGCCGCGGUAAUACGUANGGUGCGAGCGUUAAUCGGAAUUACUGGGCGUAAAGCGUGCGCAGGCGGUUUUGUA